GUCACCCAUAGUGGGUUGAGCGCCCCCGAUCAGGGCGCGGAUCUAAGGGCCCGGUGGGCCGUUGGGCCCACACGGUGGAGAUCAUCCUAACAAGUACUUCCCUCUGUGCUAUACUAUCUUGAACUAUUUUAUUUAGUUCAUAUAGACGCUGUAGUGCCACUUUCAUGCUAAAAGUUGUGGAAGUAAGUCAAAAUGUGCUAGAGAAUGAAAAAAUAGCAGCACAUCCUUCUUUUGAAAGGGCCCAAACAUGACCUUUAUAGCAUAAUCAGAUGCCUAAGAAGACAUGACUUACACCAUUAUAACUAAAUAUGUGACAGUGCUAAUUCUUUGAGACAUACCACAAGAAAAUGUUUGAUGCGAAUAUCUAUUAAUAUGUACAAUUGAAAACUUCACUUGAAUUGUUUUCUUAUCCCUAUCGCUGUUUGUUCUUUGUUGUGAACAAUGUUUCUGUUUAUUGUGCAUGAUAUUUGGUGCAAUUUUCUAUAGCUAUUCUCUUGUGCUUGGGAUGCCAUUUGGUCAGCCUAUUCAUAAUUAUUUGCUCCUUUUUACUAGGCGGGUAUUGGAGGUCCCCUUGUAAAUUACAGUGGUGAUGUCGUGGGUAUCAAUUUCUACGGAGAGAACCACACACCCUUUCUUUCAACGGGAGUUAUUGUAAGAUGCUUGGAACAUUGGAGAAAAUAUGGGUAGACACAUUUCUAUACCAACACUGCUAGAUAUCUUAUUUUUAGCACCCUUGCAUAUGAUGAUGCUUUGUUUUGAUUUGUAGAAAAAUAAUUCGACCUUGGCUUGGAAUCUGUACAAGCCUAUUGAUAUGUUCCCAUUUCGAGUUUUGGAGAGAUGUGCAUAUCUUGGCAAGGGUUUGUAUAUUUUAGAUGUGGCCAAGGGAUCACCUGUCGAUGUAGCUGGGCUUUGUGUUGGUGACGUUUUGGUCGAAUAUGCGGGAGAAGUUAUCUGUACUGCUCCAAAGUUUGGUGCAAUGUUGAUGGAUAUGUGUGAGGAACAAGUCGAGGCAGAUACUUUAAGAAGCAAAGUGACUAUUGAGGUCGUUUUAAGGAAUGAAGGAGAUGGCAGCAUAGCAAGGAAGACGUUGCAUGCUGAUGUUUUAAGCGAGUUCAAUUACUAUAGAUGGCUAGAUCCAUUGCCGAACUACAAUCGCAGUGUUUAUGCUAGAGAACAGUUUAUGGAAUUAUAAUUAGGAGACAAAGUCUAGGUUUUGUUGAACAUAAUGGGAUUUUCCUUCCUACUGCGUGUACUGAUGUCUAUGAAGCUCCCUCUCUAAUGCCAUCGCCCCGAGCAACAUCAGCCUCAUGACAAGUGAGCUGAAUGAAAUCUGGAGAAGAGAAGAGAUCAAGGCCAGACAGAGGUCCAGAGAGAGAGAGAGAUACUAGAGGGUGAGUAUAACACUGGCUACUUCAAAGCUCUGGCAAAUCAAAAAAGGAGGAAAAAACAAAUUGCUAUGUUGGAAACUCCCUCAGGUCCAGUGGAGGACACCCAAGGAUAUUUGGAGAAGAACAGCGAUAAAUCUGUCUACAUGGGAAUGUCUGUCCUCGGGAGGUGCCAAUAUAAAGCUGAAAUGGGCGGUAAAAGAGCUAGAGGCGAAGGCAAGAAGCCCUCCACUGUUGCUGUGGCCAGACCCUGGUUAAAGCGAGGCUUUUCCUUCUAGAUCUAGCUAUCUGUCGAGUGGCCGAUGGGCCUGUAGUUCUUUCGUUUUGUAAUAGUGCACUAGCACUUCUAGCUUUGUUGCUAUGCCAGUUCUCUAACAUUUUCUGCAGGCAGCCUUCCUGCUGUCCGUCGUGAGUUUCAACUUUGUAUCGCACUUUGAAACACUUUUGUUUCGUUUCAAUGAAAUGGAACA